CAGCGACGGGCCCGCGGGCUGGGCAGGGCUGGGCUGCGCGGGGCCGACCGCCGGGCGCCGCGCUGCCCCGGACGGGCCUCCAGCCAUGGAAAUUCCCCCAGGAGACCGCAACCCGUCAGACAGAAGUAGGCAAGAAGGGGAAAAAAAGCCCCAGGAGACUGUGAAAGGGAGGCUUUCCAGCCCGGGCAGGGUUUGCAGCUGCAGCGCUGGCAGCGGUGCGGAGCGCGCUGAGUGGCGCAGCCGCUGGCUCCCAGGUUGGCCGCGGUGCUGCGGAUCGGCCGCCACCAGUUGCGCCUCGGAGCGCGGAGCGGCACGUGGAGCGCCGCAGCCCCCUGCCCUCCGGGCCUGCCAGCCUCCGCCGGGCCCUGCCGACCUUCCUGCCCCGGCCCCUGACUGCGAACGUGCAGGGCUGCUCUUUAACUGAUCCUGAUUUCCUUCUGUCAAGAGGAACAGAGGAAACUGAAGACAUUUUACUUCCCUCUUAACACCUUUAAAUAGUUCUGAAUAAUGGACAGUAAUGUUGUUGAAUCUCUUUGUGAUUGAUUGGUUGUACCUCAGUACAUGUGAGUUCAAGUUAUUCUUCUUCUAUGCCUGAGAACAUGGUUUUAAAUUUUGUAAUAUGUAAUUGUAACAUAUGUGUAUUAUUCUAAACUUCACCAGUAUUUUCAGUAUUAGGAUCAUGGCAGGGUCUCUGUCCUAAAUAUAUUAUAGUACAACAAUGCUGAAAUGGAAAGACAGUUAUAGUUAAAAGGGCUAAAUAAAAAACUUGGCGUUAAAACCAAAUUAUACAGUAAAAUAUCAUAAUUGCAAGUGAAGCUUAUAAAUUUUUUAAAAUUAUUUUUAAAAUAUAGAUUAAAAGCAGAAAUACCCACAAUAUUACCCAUAAAUAUCCAUAAAAGGACAGUAAAAGAGAAUUUGAAGAUCAUUAUUAAGCUUGGUUUGGAGUACUUUUGGUUCCUGGUGUUCACGACCUAGCUUUUGUAUUAGUUACCCUUCUGCAAAGCAUCCUGUAAAAAGCCAUGUAAAUUGUCAGAUACCAAGGCAAAGUUGGUUGCGGCUGUGUUGAAGAUGAGGAUUUGUACUUCAUAAAGCAUAAAGUGCUGUGGGAUUGAUGGUGCCUUAGAUACCAGCUGAUCCUAACAGGGCAACCAGCUCCAUUUAGGCCAAGGAAAUGCACCUUCGAAGAGCACUAACAGAAACAAAUAAACAGUUGAAUGUCUAAAAUGAAACUAGAGACAUGCAGAUUUAACUCCUGUAAUCAGAACUGAAAUUAAGAUAUGCAUUAUUUUUUAAAGGAGCAACUUGUUCCAGUAAUGCUGUACCUGGGAGCAAGAGGCUAUGAUAAAGAAUCUUUAUCCAGGUUUGAUGUUUUUCUGCCAUGGGAUGGACUCCACAGUGGGGAGAAAGGGAAUAUGAUGCUUAAUGCUUUCUGCUGGCUGGAGGUUAACGAGGCUCCUUAUAGUUUUGCACCUGAGAAGUAUCUGGAUCUGGCAUUAUUCUACAUUAGUAUUUCAUGCACAUUCCUUACAAUUGUGAGUAUUCAUGAAAUUUACAUUACCUUUUCUCAGCAGUAUCAAACUAAUCACCAACAUCAAAUGAUGUAUUAAAAAAUACCUUAUCUAGAAUUCUACAAAACCAAAAAUAUUUCCAUGUGAAAUGAAUAUCUAAUCAAUCUGUUCCCAAAAAUUUUAAAUCAGAAAAUACUAAACCAAGUAUAUUUUACAAAUAGAAUAAAUAAUGCAGUGGAACAGAAGACUAUAUGUUAUAUUGCUGUGUGAAGUCAUGGUUACACAUCCUGAGAUCUAUAAAAAUUUAGUUAAUUCUUUACAUCUUUAAUAUGAGUUCAUAAUAGAGAGUACAAAUGCUCCUUUUGAGCUUCAAGAGAGUACACUGUGAAUGAGUAUCAAAAAUAUUGUGCAUCCUCUUUUAUAUUUUCAUAAUAUAGAAUGCUCUUACUUACAUAUUGUGUAUUAUUCCUCAUACAUAUUCAGAACAUAUAUUGUAACAGUUCCUUUGGAAUCACUAACAUGUAAGCUGUGAAUGUGUAUUAACAGCCAAAUGCAUUUGCAUAUUAUGAGUCCAUACUACUGAAUGCACAACCAAAUUAUUGAUAAAAAGUCAUUGCUAUACAUAGAAACAGAAUUUAUUUUCUCAUGCUUCUCACUCACAACUUGCAGUGAUUUCUCACCCAUGUCUUAACAACUGAAAAAAAAAAAGAAAAAAAUGCCAGUGCAACAACAAUUGGGAAUUAUAGUUUUCUUGAAGCAAAAUAUUUUGUGAGGGUUUUUGCUCUGUAUUGUAAUAUUUCUUUUAAUUGCUUGAAUAUAUAUACUCCUGGUUUUUCAUUUUGGUAUCCAUAUAGAUGACUGGACCAAAAUUUUAUCAUCAAGUGCUCAUUCAGAUUGUACACGUAAAAUACACAGGAAAAACAAACAUAAAUAUAAACCUCAGUCAGUUCCACUGGUAUUUUUAACUGUCAUGAUUUUGUUCGUACAUUUCUGUAACAGAAUGGAGGGUGGGGAGUUUGCCAGCCAGAAACAUGCAAUUCUCUAUAUUGAACACAACAAAAUUUACAAAAUAAUAUUAUGCAAUAACAUAAUUACCAAACUUCAUUCGUAUCAAAAACAUAUUGUUUGUCUACAUUGGCAGAUGAUCAUUCUGGCUACCCAUGCAAGUAAAGAUGGAAAAAGACACCAUUUUACUUUUCUAAAACAGUGAAUGAAGGAAAAAAGUCUUCUGCCUCAGUUUCUUACUUAGAAAAUUGAAAGUUAUGCAAAUCUUAGGCUCAGGUCUGAUCUAAUUCUGUGACCAUGCUGCUAGGAUAGGGAUUUUCCCCAGGAAGAAAAAGAAAAGCUAAGGACCAAUUGCCUUUUGCCCAGUUCCCUUCCUCAUCCUAUGGAGUUGCUGAAAUACCUGGAAAAACACAAGAGGAAAUUACCUAGACCAUUUCAAGUUCUGCAUAGUUGUCAUACUGAUUAUCAGUUUUAGAAUAAUUUCAGGUGUAUUAUUUUAAUAAUAAAAAAGACUGAAAGUUGCUUUAUAGUUCUAAUAUCACAACAGAGAUAUUAACUCCAAGAGGUAUUCAGUUAUACUUUCUGGCAAUUAAUGGCAAUUCUAAACCACCUGCCAUGUAAGAACCAAAUAUUUACACAGGAUUAUCAUAAUACCUCAGCUAGAAUACCAAUAAAAUCAGAAAACUCAAACUAGAUUUAAAGUGAUUUCCAUAUAGCUGGUAUUUUUGGAUCCCAUCUAGGAGAUGCAGUCCUGCCUGGUGAAUGAUGGCACAAUGAUACUGUUCACUAGUAUGUGUCAUAUCUGCUACAUAUCUUUGAGAGAGAAAUAAUGUAUGUAUGUUUGUAAAAUCACUGGAAUUUCAGUGUUUUGCCUUUAAAAGAAGUUAUUACAUUUUAGUUUACUGCAGGAGCCUAUUACAGUCUAAAAUUCCUUCAUUUCCCUUUUACUUUUUCUGUGGUUUGUUUCAAACAAUUUAAAGUAUUAAUGAAAAUGCUGUAUAAGUCAAAAUAUUAAUGUAAUUUUAUUUCAUAUUGUUUUAUACUUAUAAGGUCUAUAAACAGGCUCCUGUAAACUUAUAAAAUCAGUUAUUUUGGGGUCAGAGCUGUGGGUUGGUUUUUUUUCUUUUAUUAUUGUAAAUAAAAUAAGAUGGUUUGCACUCAGUUUUAUACUUCUAACAUACUAGCUGCUCUCUUGGAGAAUGUUACAAGAUAUAUAUGCCAGCAGACUAAAUUACCUUGAUAACCAGUGAUGAAUAUAAGCAAAUGAAAUAUUUUUCUGUAGUUUUCCAAAAUUAUCUUUUUAUUUUCUCAAUAAAAUAUUCACAUUUUUUA